rnacentral:rRNA from 1 species
GAUGAACGCUAGCUACAGGCUUACACAUGCAAGUCGAGGGGUCUCGCGGGAGCUUGCUCCCAAGAGACGACCGGCGCACGGGUGAGUAACGCGUAUCCAACCUGCCCUUCAUAUUGGGAUAGCCUUCCGAAAGGAAGAUUAAUACCGAAUAACAUAGAGUGGUUGCCUGAUUUCUCUAUGAAAGCUCCGGCGAUGAAGGAUGGGGAUGCGUUCCAUUAGGUAGUAGGCGGGGUAACGGCCCACCUAGCCAACGAUGGAUAGGGGUUCUGAGAGGAAGGUCCCCCCACACUGGAACUGAGACACGGUCCAGACUCCUACGGGAGGCAGCAGUGAGGAAUAUUGGUCAAUGGGGCGCAAGCCUGAACCAGCCAAGUAGCGUGAAGGAUGACUGCCCUAUGGGUUGUAAACUGCUUUUGCGGGAGAAUAACCGGCGCCACGCGUGGCGCCCUGCAUGUAUCCCGCGAAUAAGGACCGGCUAAUUCCGUGCCAGCAGCCGA